CACUAGCAGCCCGAGUGGUAGUCGUUUUUAUUUGGCUUAAAGCGUCCGUAGUCUGACUAGUAAGUUCUCUGUGAAAUCCUGUCGCUUAACAAUAGGGCUUGCAGAGAAUACUACUAAUCUUGGAGCCAGGAAAGGUUAGGGGUAUUCCAGGGGUAGCGGUGAAAUGUUAUAAUCCCUGGAGGACCACCAAUGGCGAAGGCACCUAACUGGAAUGGGCUCGACGAUGAGGGACGAAAGCUAGGGGAGCAAACCGGAUUAGAUACCCCAGUA
rnacentral:rRNA from 1 species